UCGUUCUCGCGAGAACGCCUGAAGGCACCUAGUUACUGUUGCCAUAGAGGGGCGCGAGGAAGGCACGUAGAGAUGCGGACCCUGCUGUAUCUGGAUGGAUACUCCCGCGGGCACGACACCCAUACUCAUUCUCUGGUAGAUGUCUAGCAGAUCUUUUUGGGAAUUUCAUCUCAGAGUGACAAGAAUGUCACCCUUGCGUCAUCUUAAGGAUGAGAAAACAUAGGUCCCCAAAGGAAAAAGGGUCCAUGUGCUUCUUUUCAAGGACUCCAAAAUUCUGAUGAAACCUGAAGAUCCCUUACCUACUGAACUAAUGCUGAUGGUAUCUUUGAAGAGAAGAAGGCACCUUAUAACAAGGAGGCAGCUGAGCACAGAAACACAGCAGUGCCAGCACCUAUUUGAACCUGGGAGGAAACUAAAGACUUCUUGUAAUGGUUCAUGUGGACAAGAGGGGAAUGGCUUCCACAGCAGAGGCAGAGCAGAAUCAAGGACUUAUUUCAUAACCUUAGAAUCCACGCACCUCAAGGAAGUGAUCAUAUGUUUAUGCCCAGAUUUAUCAUUAAUUGCUUAAAUAAUUUAAAGUUGCAAAAAAUUUAAAAGACUCUAAAUGGCUAACAUUUAGAAGAUUCAUUAAAUAAAGUAUACAACAUCCAU